AGAUCCCGCGAGAACUCACUGUCACCAGAACAGCAAGGAGGAAGUCCGUCCCCAUGAUCCAAUCACCUCCCACGAGGCCUCUUCUCCAGCAUUGAGGAUUACAAUUUGACAUGAGAUUUGGGUGGGAAUACGGAGCCGAACCAUAUCACUACUGGUCAUUGUGGUGUCUCUAAAAGGCCAGGAACCAGUUUGAGGACCACCCACUGGGAGGAGAGCUCUGAACCAACACCUGUGAAUAACGAUUGUAGCCUUUGCCCGUGCUGUACACAUGCGUAGUGCUUUCCCACACCUGGGUUCUUUCAACCUCGUUAACCUAGGCAAUAAUUAUUAUUUUCAUCUUACAGCUGAGGAAACGGAGGCUCAAAUGCUCGUCAGUUUCCCAGGGACGUGGGCUGGUGAUAUACCUGCUCAUAUCCACUGCUUGUUUUUAGAGAAGAGGCAUCCAGAAUGGCAGAAAGAUGCAUGGCAAUGUCCUCAUUGUGUCAGGUGUGGCUUGGGUCCCUGUACCCUACUGAAGAAAUUUGAAGGUGCCACAGAAGAGAACCCAAAACAAGCCACAGAAAUGAGCCAAAGUAAUUAAAGAAUGUUACCAUGUUACCUACCAUGCCUCAGGCAUUGAGCUAAACGACCGGGCUACAAAGAUGCACAGAGAUGCCUUACCUUGAAGAGUUCAAGACCUGGGGCACAGAAUGGCCAGGGGCACAAGACAGCUCAUGGAGGAGGAAUGAAAAGUCCAGCACCGUGAGAUGAGUAUUCAAACGCAAGUAUGCAAGGGGCCUUGGGGUGGGGGCGUUAUCUUUUCAUGCUCCAGGAAGGCUUCAGAAGAAAGUGAGGUGCCUGUGAGCCUGUUCUUGAAGGAACAGAAGUUUGCUCAGGCAAAGAUGUAGAAAAAGUCUUUCCCAGCAAAGGGAACUACGAAGGUAGAGAGGUGUGAGGGGCCUGGCAGAGCCAGAGACAAGCAGACAGCUUGAGAGUGGUGGCUGCUAACGGAUGGUGGCCUGCUGAUAGAUUGUGCUGGGGCCACAGGGUGGUUUCUUAACUGCAACCACACUUAGGGAUGGAGAUAUUUUAUGAAAAGGGCCAGAUUUUCUGUUUCUCUUGAAAAAAAAAAUAGUAAAACUGACCUCCCUGCUUGAGAUCCACUUUAGACUGGGACUGAGAAGUGAACUCCCCCUUCAGCAGUGGUCAGUGCCUGCCAGUACAUCACUAUGUCCACCACAACCCUGGAUUCAGACUCACUCAUCGUCAUUCAUGCUUUCAUCAAGCAGCUGCACUAAUUCAGAUGACUCACUUCACUCCAGGAGGUGUUUGACUUUUCAGCCUCUGGGCUGAGCAGAGAAGAUCCAGAUAAAUGCGGCCCUUCAUUCAAGGCUACACCUUCUGAUGGCUAUUACAUUUGAACUCCAAGAGAGAAAAGUCUUCAUUUCCUUGAGCAAUAUCCUAAUCUCAUUAAAGAAACACUCCAGUCUUGAUUUAGGAAAAAAAGAUUCAUUCCUUCAUCCUUCCAAAUAAGGUCACACUGAAUAACCCCAAGCAGACGGAGUUCUUGACAGAGUUUUGAAGGCCCACAAAAGGCUGCACAGGUGAUUACAGGCCAAGUAGGAAGGUCUGCGGCACAUCCAGGCAUCAUCUCUGGCAGUGCUGUCCUGAAGAAGCCUUUCUUUAUUGAUCUGCCACAGUCCACCUGGCCAAACUCCUCCUCUGGGCUCUUCAGACCACUGGCAGGAAGGAAAAACAGCGGCUGGGCCCUGAGGGUAUCCUCUGUGUCUGUCGUGGUGAGGCAGCAUGGACCGUCCUCAGUUCCUGAGUUCAGCUUAGCCUGGACAUCUCUCUAGGUCCUUGCCGUGGUUCUUCUGGAGGUGCUCACAGCUCCCUCCAGAUGACCAUGAGAUCUAAUGAAUGCACAUGUGUCCAGCCUCCCAGCAGCCUUCCUCCCUACCCUCUCCAUGGACCCUGGAACUUCUGAACGCCAACUGUUUACUAGGGAAGGACACCUCUGGGUGGAUUCGCUUUAAUGACUGUCUCUUGACCCACUAUGUCCUCAAGAAGAACUUUACGAUGGGCUCUCUUGGUCAAAACUGAAUCCCUGAAAAGCUGGCCGGUGUGAGACUUUUCCGGCCCUGUUUGGAUGAAGGACUCUUCACCUCCACAAGCACAGAGCCACUGAUGCUCCGAGGAGGCUCCUGAGGUGCAAGCUGGGCCCCACAUCCUGAUGUCUUCAUGGAUGUUGGCGAAAAUAUCCAGGAAACAAGGAACUUCUGCCCUGACUUGGAGAAGGUGGUCGUUUUCUCCACCCAAUAGUGUCUCCCACCAGAGAAGAGUCUCCUUACCUGUUUCUGAGUGGCAGCAAGCGGUUCUUCCCUUCAGGAGGGCGCUGGGCUUCUCGUGCCGGCAGAUGAGGGCCCGGCACCACUCACAGUGUUUUCGGACCUGGCAGCAGCUGCAAAGACACAGAGGACCCAGUCUGGGCGGGAGCCUGGCAGGAGGGCCAGGGUGGUACAGCAUCUGCCCUAGGGGCCUGCUGGGCAGCUCCAGCUCUAAACCAGCUCCCCAUGGGGGCUUCUAGAGGGACAGGCACCAUAGGGGGCUGAGGGCAUUGUAGGGCAGUGUUUUUUUGGGGCAGAUGCUGGCCAACAACAAAAGCAUCUGUUGGCUACCCUAAAGUAUUUGCUCUGUUUCUGCAAGCUGACCUGGCUCCAGCUUCCCCAGCUGUCAGAGAGAACUGGUCCUCCACUCGGCUUUCUUGAUAAAGAACCAGGUGGGUAAUUCCACAAGUGUAAUGGCCUCAGAAUUGGGACAAAGGACUGGGAUAAAGGGGCCACCUCCAGCUGGCAGGGCUGUGAGGGUUUAGGAAGAGGUUAUUCAUCUGGUAUUGCCAGUAGCAGAACAAGGAACUUGGAUGGCUGAAUUGACCCAUGGGAAAAAAUGGAAGAGUGAGUUAUGGAUCUCAAUGGCUUUGAAUCCUGCUUUCAGGACUAAAAUUCUCUAGUUUUGGAACAUCUACCCUCUCUGUAAACCUGUGUGACCCGGAGUCCUGAGGCAUCAGGGUUAUAAAGGCUCCUGCCUCCCUCUGUGGGCAGGAAUGGAGAGUUUUCAGACUUUGCAUGAAAAAAAAAAAAAGCCCCAAAAGAACAGAAGAGAAAGCACUGAGUGAGAGAUGAGUUCCCCACAGACACUGCCAGCCAUUUCCCUUGGGCUAUCGUGGAGAACUUUGUUUCCACUCAUUCUAACCCUAAUUUGUAUAUAAUUUAUGUAUCCCUGGGCUAGGGUUGGAGUUAGGAGAAAUUUCCUAAGGUGAGCCAGGUGGCAGAGAUGAAGAAAUAAGCCUGUUGCUGGGCUUCUCUCUUGGUAUCUGGUGGGCAUUUCACGAUUCCCAUCCCAGCCCCUGUCUUGGCACUGUCCUGCAGUGAGAAGCUGCAAAGGUUACUGGAGCCCCUGAAUCUUUGGACAGCAGGGCUAAGGAGGAGGCUCUGAGACCUUCCUGCCCAAGCUGCUUAUGUUACAGGUGAAAACCGGGAGCCCAGAGCAGUGUGCCUGGGCACGAGGCCCUUCUGAGUUGCAGAGUCUGGGCUGGAAACAGCACAUCCCAUGCCAGGGGGCUCUAAAGGCCUUGGUUCCAGAGCCAUCAAUGACUACUUUCUCACAGCCAGCCAGGUGGACUUGUCCUUGUCACUUCCCAGAUAGGAGCAUUCCCGGGCAAUGGGAUCAAGGCCUCUAGAUCCCUCCAGCAUGGGACAAGCUGGUCCCAAUUUGGACCCUGCAACUCAGGAGGGCCCUAAGCCCAGGAAGCCAGCAGCCUGGCAGGAGUGAGAGCUUAGUCUCUGGCUCAUGGAUUCUGAACUUGGUCUCUGGCAGGGAGACCAAGGCUGGGAAGGGACACAGGAGUUGGGACUGGCCGCCUCCCUGGAAAUGAGAGAUGCUGUCUAGGCAUCUAGAUCAUUCCUGUUUCCAGACAAUCUGCCAAAAUUAGCUCUUAGGUCCCUCUGGGGAGGCCCAUGUGGGCCACCAGUCUUGUUUCUAAGUCCCUGUGGCCCUCCUGGCCAUAGACACAGGACAAUGGAAGGAUGGGGCAGCACACACAGCUACUGGCCAUGAGAAGCAAGGCUGGCAGCCCACUAGCUUGCUCCUGGCUCCUCAAGGAGGGUCCUUCUGAGUGACAGAGCCUGGGCUGUGGCCCAGUCUGAACCAGAGCUACUUGUCUUCUCCCAGCAAACAUGUUUUUCCAAGGCCCCUGGAAGCAGAAUGGAUACUGCUUGGUGGGGAGGGAAAGGCCAGCCCAGCUCAGACCUCAAACCUCACCACUCAGUGCUGCCUUGGUCCAGGAGAAGGAUGUGAGCAGGUUGUUCCAGGAGAAGGAUGUGAGCAGGUUGUGGCUACUGUCAACAAGCUGGGGCUCUAACGGGUGCCUCAUUGUUACCAGAACCAGGGCCAUGUGUUUCAGAUGUCUCGAUAGCCACAAACCAAAGGGACAGUUUGUUUAUCUGUCCAAAUCUUAGGCAACCUUGGAGGGUGUAAGUCUGGCUUCUUGCAUCGACCUGUAGCUACUGACCACAACCUUGCCAGAGGGGCCCAUCCACUGACUGUCUCCACCAUGAGUUAACCUACACUGAAUUGAAUGGCAGCCUUUAACUGUUCUGUGACUUCUUUGUGCAUAUCCAAUUAGGUAUAUUAGGUUGGUGCAAAAGUAAUUGUGGUUUUGGCCUUAAAAAGUAAUGGUGAAAACUGCAAUUACUUUUGCACCAACCUAAUAAAUCCCCUAAGACUCAGACUUUAGAUAGUUCCAGGGAAUAAAUCUGGCAUAGUUCCAAAUGCUAGGAAUAUUGCACUGUAUUCCCAGGGUCUCUGACCCUGCACAGCAGUCCAGUCAGGAAAUAUGGGCAAGCAAAUGGGGCCAGGACACACCUGAAAAGGUCUCUCCUGGUCUAGGCCCCAGGGAGGCUUCCUGGAAGAUACAACACAGCAACUGAGUUUUGGAGGAUGAGGAGGGGCAGAGAAGUGGACAAAGAGGAAGGGCUGUGCAGAAUGAUGGUCAUCAGCCUGUAACAGCAACAAUGGCCCUCGACAUGUAUUUGCAAAGUGACUUCUGCAGAGAGGAAGUACUUCUGGUGCUGAUGGAAGGAGGCUAGGAGCUGUCUCUAGUCCUCUCUGGAGCACCUGCCCAUGUCAUCACUAUUCUGAAGACUCCAACACAACCGUGGAAAGAACAAGCACGCCUUUGGUUCUGCACUGGCCUCCACAGUGCACCAACCCCCCAGCUGGGGAUCCGCCCAGGAUGCACGAGGCUUUCAUGCAGCUUGGCUGCCAUGCCAUGCCAACAGUCAUCAAAGUAGCAUUUAGCUUUCCUGACAGCACUCAGACAUCGCAGAAAUAAGCUGUGCUGAGGUGGCCCUGUUAUCUGGAUAUACUGCGGAUGUCCCUGGUAGGGGAGGUGGGCAGGGGACCUGGCCUUAGGGGCAGCAAGUACUCACUGUAUCAGCACACAUGUAAUGAUAAGGACAGCCAGGGCCACGAUGGAGACCACCACCAAGGCGGUGAUGGCCUGCUUCUUCUGGCUGGCAGCCACCACGGCCAGGAGGUCCGCAUGCUCACAGCGUGCACCAACGUACCCAGAAUGGCAGCUGGGGAAGAAAGGAACAUCAGUGCACUCUCCUGACAAAAGGUCUUGUUACCCUAGCUCUCCAGGGAGGGCUUUCCUGGAGGGACCCAGAACCUGCAGGUAAAGCCCAAAGGGGCCCUGCCAGCUUUUGCAAUUGGAGGGAAAGGUGUCAGCAAAAUGCCUGUUUCCCUGCCGCAGGCACCGCUGCUUAUGUGGAGAAGGGAAGGGGAAUCUAAUCAUCCUUAUCAUCUGCGGAGGCAAGCUAUGUCUGAAGCAAUCCGUGACUACUGUGACUGUGCCAAAUCCUGGAGGAAUGAAGGCAGCACAUGUGUUCAUGACAUAAGCCUCAUUUUGGCAGUUCAUAAAAAAUCCAGGUUAGUUUUAAACCAAAUGUGUAUUUUCAGACUUUCUGGUGAUGAGAAAGAAAACACCUGAAACCAGUGGAGACAUAGGCUUGUGGUUUGCCUUUUUAUCUUCUUCAAGUUUAAUUAGUUCUUCAAGUAUUUACCAGGUUACUCAGCAUGACUACCUGAUCAUUGUAGGACUGGAGAAAUCACUACUCUCCUGUGAACCCUGGUGUCCUCCUAUCCAUCAAUACCUGGCCUACCUCCACCCAGGCUUAGUAAAGGCACAAGCAAGGUCGUGUCUGAAUGUGCGUGUAGCCUGUACAGUGUGGUGCUAAUACCAGGUGAUGUAAUUCCUGGUAUUGCUACCAUUCAGAGUCAGUCCUGGGCAUCAAGAUUUUUAAAGCUCCCAGCUGAUUCCAGUGGGCAGGGGAGGGCGAGUCAUUCAGAGGUUCUUUGGUAUUAAUCUUUCAAUCACAGCCCCCUGCUAUGCCCAAAUGGGUCUCAAAGGUGCUUCAGGAUGUGCCCUGGCCAUAAGGAUGGGAUGGUCAUUUUCUUUUACAGGCAUCCCCUCACCCUGAGCCACUAAUCCCCCAAGCAUGUGAUUCUUCUUAAUAAAAGAUACUUAGCUUAGA